rnacentral:rRNA from 1 species
CGCCUUCUGCAACCCAUAGAAGGUCCAGCCUGCCCAGUGACAAACUUAAACGGCCGCGGUACUCUGACCGCGCAAAGGUAGCACAAUCACCUGUCCUCUAAAUAAGGACUAGUAUGAACGGCACCACGAGGGUUCUACUGUCUCCCCCCCUUAAUCAGUGAAACUAAUUUCCCCGUGAAGAAGCGGGGAUAAGCCCAUAAGACGAGAAGACCCCAUGGAGCUUCAAACUAAGUACCACCUGCAUAACCUCACACCAUUGUAACCCAGCAGACUUCCCCUACUAGUUUUUGGUUGGGGCAACCGCGGGGCACAGCAAAACCCCCGUGACGAAAGGACCUCCUCCUAAUCAAAGGACCACCACCCACAGAAUCAACACAUUGACCCAAUUGACCCACCACCCUGAGCAACGAACCAAGUUACCCUGGGGAUAACAGCGCAAUCUAUUUCCAGAGCCCUUAUCGACAAAUAGGUUUACGACCUCGAUGUUGGAUCCAGGUAUCCCAGUGGUGCAGCCGCUACUAAAGGUUCGUUUGUUCAACGAUUAAAACCUC